rnacentral:rRNA from 1 species
CCUGAGAAACCCAAAAGAUCGAAUGGGGAGAUUCAUCGUUAGCUCAUUUUGUAUAUGUAUAAGUUAUGAUGCGGGUUACUACUUGUAGUAUUGCCUGCACAUUCUUGUAUAUUUAGUUGCAAGAUGUUGUCGGCGUGCACUUCUCCCCUAGUAGAACGUCGCGACCUGUUGGGUGUCGGUCUACGGCCCAAGUGAUAGCCUUUAAUGUAAUUUAAAAAACAUUGAAGAUCCUUGGUGUUUUCUGACCGGCUACUUGGCAGUAUUCGUACGGUAUUUAGCCGCUAAAUUUAUUAAGCGUCCAUAUCCAUUACAAGCGAGGCUAAUUUACUGAUAGUACGGACCUAGUGCCGUCGUUGGUAUUGGCCAGCUGUUGGUUGAUGGUAUUCUAGGACUGGCUAAAAUUAAUUACCGGUCGGCGAUGCUACUGCUUUGGGUACUUUCAG